GACCUCAUAAACAAGAGCAAUGAUGACAACUGGCAGUAUGAACCUGUAUUUCAUGGUGUUCCGGGUAAGGGAGAAGACAUGAUAUGGCUAACCCAUUGGGAUAUGGAGAACCAAGUAAAAGGAGGGCAUCAAGUUGCUGUUUCUCUCUCGGUAAAACAUGCCAGGUUUCGGUAUCAUGUAAAGUAGUGGGGGAUCGAGGUUGUUCAGAAGAAGCAUGAAUGUACGGAGCACAACACCACUGGUGGAGAUUCGUUAACAUCAGAUGAGCCAUUGAGGGAACCACACUUGCUCUCUUAUGAACCUGACUCAACGGAAGAUAAAGGUGAUGCUGUUCCUGCAGCAGCAAUGAGGGCUAGCACCAGCAGCAACAACGAUCAGGGUCUCAGAAAGUAGAAGGUGCUCAUCGUUGCCGCUAUUGUCCUCACUGCUGCGAUCAGUGUUGCUAAUCGUUUUGAGGACUCUAAUUUCGACACAAAUGUAGCCAAGACUGUUACCAAUGCAGACAAUGUAGAAGAACACGGGAAUGAAGAUGACAAGUUUGCAGUUGCUACUGAUGGCGGUAACAAUCAUGCGCGGGGUCCUAGAAAGUGGAAGGUGCCCAUCAUCGCUGCUAUCCUGUUAAUUAUGUACCUAUCUGUUCGCUGGGUCUUCUUUUUCUCCACGAGAGAGACAUACAUGGAGUCCAUCUUGGUUCCUACAUAAAAAUUCACUAUUGUAUUCUUGUUUCCUUCUGUCUAACCUGAAAUAUGUACAUUAAAUAGCCCGACUAAACUUCUCGUUGUAGAAUAAACUCUUUUCUUUGUUUUUUGAAACUUACCCAAGA